GGUUAAGCGACUAAGCGUACACGGUGGAUGCCCUGGCAGUCAGAGGCGAUGAAGGGCGUGCUAAUCUGCGAUAAGCGCCGGUAAGGUGAUAUGAACCGUUAUAACCGGCGAUACCCGAAUGGGGAAACCCAGUGUGAUUCGUCACACUAUCAUUAACUGAAUCCAUAGGUUAAUGAGGCGAACCGGGGGAACUGAAACAUCUAAGUACCCCGAGGAAAAGAAAUCAACCGAGAUUCCCCCAGUAGCGGCGAGCGAACGGGGAGGAGCCCAGAGCCUGAAUCAGCAUGUGUGUUAGUGGAAGCGUCUGGAAAGGCGCGCGAUACAGGGUGACAGCCCCGUACACAAAAGCGCAUGUGCUGUGAGCUCGAUGAGUAGGGCGGGACACGUGGUAUCCUGUCUGAAUAUGGGGGGACCAUCCUCCAAGGCUAAAUACUCCUGACUGACCGAUAGUGAACCAGUACCGUGAGGGAAAGGCGAAAAGAACCCCGGCGAGGGGAGUGAAAAAGAACCUGAAACCGUGUACGUACAAGCAGUGGGAGCACCCUUUGGGGUGUGACUGCGUACCUUUUGUAUAAUGGGUCAGCGACUUAUAUUCUGUAGCAAGGUUAACCGUAUAGGGGAGCCGGAGGGAAACCGAGUCUUAACCGGGCGUUAAGUUGCAGGGUAUAGACCCGAAACCCGGUGAUCUAGCCAUGGGCAGGUUGAAGGUUGGGUAACACUAACUGGAGGACCGAACCGACUAAUGUUGAAAAAUUAGCGGAUGACCUGUGGCUGGGGGUGAAAGGCCAAUCAAACCGGGAGAUAGCUGGUUCUCCCCGAAAGCUAUUUAGGUAGCGCCUCGUGAAUUCAUCUCCGGGGGUAGAGCACUGUUUCGGCUAGGGGGCCAUCCCGGCUUACCAACCCGAUGCAAACUGCGAAUACCGGAGAAUGUUAUCACGGGAGACACACGGCGGGUGCUAACGUCCGUCGUGAAGAGGGAAACAACCCAGACCGCCAGCUAAGGUCCCAAAGUCAUGGUUAAGUGGGAAACGAUGUGGGAAGGCCCAGACAGCCAGGAUGUUGGCUUAGAAGCAGCCAUCAUUUAAAGAAAGCGUAAUAGCUCACUGGUCGAGUCGGCCUGCGCGGAAGAUGUAACGGGGCUAAACCAUGCACCGAAGCUGCGGCAGCGACACUGUGUGUUGUUGGGUAGGGGAGCGUUCUGUAAGCCUGUGAAGGUGGCCUGUGAGGGUUGCUGGAGGUAUCAGAAGUGCGAAUGCUGACAUAAGUAACGAUAAAGCGGGUGAAAAGCCCGCUCGCCGGAAGACCAAGGGUUCCUGUCCAACGUUAAUCGGGGCAGGGUGAGUCGACCCCUAAGGCGAGGCCGAAAGGCGUAGUCGAUGGGAAACGGGUUAAUAUUCCCGUACUUGGUGUUACUGCGAAGGGGGGACGGAGAAGGCUAUGUUGGCCGGGCGACGGUUGUCCCGGUUUAAGCGUGUAGGUGUGUGUUCCAGGUAAAUCCGGUUCACUUUAACACUGAGGCGUGAUGACGAGGCACUACGGUGCUGAAGCAACAAAUGCCCUGCUUCCAGGAAAAGCCUCUAAGCAUCAGGUAACAUCAAAUCGUACCCCAAACCGACACAGGUGGUCAGGUAGAGAAUACCAAGGCGCUUGAGAGAACUCGGGUGAAGGAACUAGGCAAAAUGGUGCCGUAACUUCGGGAGAAGGCACGCUGACAUGUAGGUGAAGUGAUUUACUCAUGGAGCUGAAGUCAGUCGAAGAUACCAGCUGGCUGCAACUGUUUAUUAAAAACACAGCACUGUGCAAACACGAAAGUGGACGUAUACGGUGUGACGCCUGCCCGGUGCCGGAAGGUUAAUUGAUGGGGUCAGCGCAAGCGAAGCUCCUGAUCGAAGCCCCGGUAAACGGCGGCCGUAACUAUAACGGUCCUAAGGUAGCGAAAUUCCUUGUCGGGUAAGUUCCGACCUGCACGAAUGGCGUAAUGAUGGCCAGGCUGUCUCCACCCGAGACUCAGUGAAAUUGAACUCGCUGUGAAGAUGCAGUGUACCCGCGGCAAGACGGAAAGACCCCGUGAACCUUUACUAUAGCUUGACACUGAACAUUGAGCCUUGAUGUGUAGGAUAGGUGGGAGGCUUUGAAGUGUGGACGCCAGUCUGCAUGGAGCCGGCCUUGAAAUACCACCCUUUAAUGUUUGAUGUUCUAACGUGGACCCGUUACCCGGGUUGCGGACAGUGUCUGGUGGGUAGUUUGACUGGGGCGGUCUCCUCCUAAAGAGUAACGGAGGAGCACGAAGGUUGGCUAAUCCUGGUCGGACAUCAGGAGGUUAGUGCAAUGGCAUAAGCCAGCUUGACUGCGAGCGUGACGGCGCGAGCAGGUGCGAAAGCAGGUCAUAGUGAUCCGGUGGUUCUGAAUGGAAGGGCCAUCGCUCAACGGAUAAAAGGUACUCCGGGGAUAACAGGCUGAUACCGCCCAAGAGUUCAUAUCGACGGCGGUGUUUGGCACCUCGAUGUCGGCUCAUCACAUCCUGGGGCUGAAGUAGGUCCCAAGGGUAUGGCUGUUCGCCAUUUAAAGUGGUACGCGAGCUGGGUUUAGAACGUCGUGAGACAGUUCGGUCCCUAUCUGCCGUGGGCGCUGGAGAACUGAGGGGGGCUGCUCCUAGUACGAGAGGACCGGAGUGGACGCAUCACUGGUGUUCGGGUUGUCAUGCCAAUGGCACUGCCCGGUAGCUAAAUGCGGAAGAGAUAAGUGCUGAAAGCAUCUAAGCACGAAACUUGCCCCGAGAUGAGUUCUCCCUGAGACUUAGAGUCUCCUGAAGGAACGUUGAAGACGACGACGUUGAUAGGCCGGGUGUGUAAGCGCAGCGAUGCGUUGAGCUAACCGGUACUAAUGAACCGUGAGGCUUAACCUU
rnacentral:rRNA from 1 species